UUUGUCUCGGGCGGAACUAAUCUGUAUAAUAACUAAACGCGUCAUACAUGUAUUCAAACAUCUGCUGACUAUUCAAUAAUUGUUGAUACGUAAAAUUGAAAAUUUUCCAAGAACCGUCAUAGUCAAAGGAUGACCGAACACAAACUAUAUUGCAAACAGUUUUGUCCUAAAUAGAAUGCCCGGCGAAGUGGUCAUCUGAUGUCUGUAUUAUUUUAUAAUACACUAUAACAGUGAACGAACGAUUGCUUCCUACGCGGUCAAUAAAAACCUGUCAGACGUACUAAAUGCACUUAUGGGCCAUCUGCAAUGGGCACAGAUUACCGAAGUGGAAGCUAAACCGCAUCCAGAUUUCCCAAACGAACAUGUUUCAUUUACAGGGAAACCCUAAUUUGUUUUCAGAGGAUGUGUGUCAGUCUUCUAAACAAGGGCAAAGUAAGCGAUUGAAAACAAAACUACAACAUGAUCAAUCAUAUGGUCAAAAUAGAGGCGAUUUCAAAGACAAGGCGCAUACAUCGGAUGUCGAGAAACAAGGUGAUCAGAAUAUCUUUACCGUCAAACAUAAAGGUUGUGAUACACGUUUACCUUAUUAUGAAUUUACCAAUACAGUUCGUGGACAGUCUUUCUAUGACUCUGACGUUUCAUGGAAAAUUUUCAAUUUUACGUAUCAACAAUUACUGAAUAGCCAGCGUAUGUUUAAAUACAAGUAUGACGCAUUAAGUUAUUUAUACGGAUUAUUUCCGCCCAAGGCAUAUGUUUUAUUUACUGGCAUACAACAUGUACCAGUACAACACAUAUUACCGUUAGUGUGUGGUACAAAGAUAUAUCGAAAAAAUUAGGACAAUUAUUUCCAACUUCUAAUGGUGAAUUUGAUGUGAAGUACAAGUCAAAAGCUGGUGAAUUUGCCACAAGCUUGUUGAGGUCUAUUAACGGUGGGAAUAAUCAAUCGUUGAAACCGUUCGUUGCCAAAUAUUGCAUACCACCAGUAAAGGAAAACCAGGACAUCAAAAGAAUAAUAAAGAAAUUUCAUACUGAGUUUCCAAAUAAAAAAAACGGAUACCAUAUAUCACUUUGAAGUUCAAAUUCAAGAGCUUGUGAAAAAAGUAAUUAAUUAUCUUUCUUUAGAUUUAGGUUUCGCGUACGUGGAAAAGUCCCCGUUCGAC